UUAUGAGUUGCAAUAGUUGAGAUUGAUAGACUGAUAAAUGUUAGAAAUUGUAUUUCUGUAUAUUUGUGCCUUAGGACCCCAAAAAAGAUUAUUUCAUAAUACUGUAGAGAACUAUCUCGUUAUUGAUUAAUAAAUAAUAUACAAGACUUCGUAUAAAUAUAGGGCUAGUAACAGUUCUGGAUAGAGAUCAAGGAAUCAGAAUAUUAGUAGGAAUGUGUGCUUUGUGAGAAGUGGGGGGUCCAUGGCAUAAGACAACAAGGAAGAGAUACGAAGACCGAGAGAGAGUAGAAAGAAAUCGAGAGAGAUAGAUGAGAGUAGAGAGAUUGAGAGCAUAUAGAGAGAGAUUAGAGAGACCUGAGGCCACCAGAGAAUAGAGAUUGAGAGAAAACAGGGGGAGAGUAGAGAGAAACAAAAGGGCAAGAGAGAGAAUUACUGUAAGAAGCCCAACAGAGAUAAGACAAUCUCGGGCAGAUCGCAGAAGACCAAACAAAGAUCAGAGAAGCGUGAGAGGCGAAACGGAGUUUUUACAGAUCGCAGAGAAAGCCCAAGCCCUGCUUACAAAAGGCCGAAACAAGAUCGCAGAGAACCUUGCUUUGAUAACAUGUUAGAAACUGUAUUUCUGUAUAUUUGGGCCUAAG
rnacentral:lncRNA from 1 species